UGGAUCGAUGAUGACCAACGGUGACAUAUGAGCUGUGGCUCUUGACUACAGGUCUAAGAGUCUGAGUUCCAC